GUCAGGAAGAGGAAGAAACGAGUGUCUAAGAGCAGUGGGCAUGGGAACAUAGGGGAAAGCCAAACUUUCUUUACCUGUACAACUAAGGGUGGAGAACUGGAGAUUAGUUUAGUGUUUCCCAAUGCCUUCCAUGCCUAUUGUUCUUAGUUACUCCUUCCCCUUCCUUUUGUCC
rnacentral:pre_miRNA from 1 species